UGAGGGUAGGUGGGGUUACCCUACUUGAAGGUGGAAUAAAUGGGAAAACUACAUUUGGGCCUUGAAUAGCUGAGAUCAUAGCUGUAGCAAAAAAUUUUCCCAAGUUGGUUUCUUUUCAAAGAAUCAGAAAGACUAUUAAAUGAAUCCAAUUUUAACACCUGCAAAUUUAUUCUUCAGUGUAUUUCAAGCUCAUAUGGCUCUCUAGUAUCAAUAUUGCUAGUAGUAGCCUAAGUGUGAAUGUGUUUUUCUGGCAAGGAGCAGAUUUUCAUUUUAAUUGACACUUUCUCUUAUAUACUAAAUCUUGGAUGC
rnacentral:lncRNA from 1 species